rfam:Bursaphelenchus xylophilus, Ka4C1 (inbred line), WGS project CADV01000000 data, contig: scaffold00298.3
CAAACGGCCCUCUUUAGGGCCACAAAUUAAUUUUUCAUAUUUAUUU